UUUUUUUUGGCACAUUCGGAAUAGGAAACAUACAACACAAAAAUUCCUACCUCACACUAUUAACUGCUAAAAUCAACUCAAAUCAACUUAAUCUUUCAUUAAAAAAAGAAGAAUUAUUAGAAAUAGUGGGAGAGGAAGAGCUAAAGUUCUUAUGGAAAUCCAUUGUUGCCACAUCUUCAAAUAUGAGAAGAGACGUCUAUCAAUUACUGUCAAUUGUCAUUGUCUGAUGAUCUUUAAUCUUUGUUAAUGUUUGGUUAUGUUGUUGACAACUUUUGAUAGGAUAAAGAUAUUUUAAACACAUUUUAAAAGAAAAAGAACCUUAGUACCUAGUUAGUAGAAAGGAAAGCAAUUUUAGAUUCCAACCGUAUUAUUACUUGUGAAAUAUUAUCAUCUAGUGGGAAAACCGCAGUGAUUGUGCCUUCAAACGGGCAAUUUGAAAGGACAACCCCACCAAAAACCAUUAUAAUUGUAAAUUGAAAUGAUUGAUAUUAAAAAUGUUUGUACCUAUGUAAUUGUACAUGUAAAGCUGGAAAUUCAGGCAUACCAUGGAAAAUUUGAAAAAAUUAAGCACCACAGACAUCAAACAACAGUGGGGAUAAUUUAAAAAACAAUAAUACAACAUAGUCAACGAUAAAGUCCUACCAGUCUGCUGAUAAAUGGGCUACUGAUAUUGUACUAAAUUAUGAUUUAGCUCUAUUUUACUCAAAUAAUGUUGAAGUAAGCUACAGUAACUCUGUUGAAAUAUCUUUAGCUAUGCUAAACCAAACUGGAGAAGCAUGAAAAAAGCUGACGUGACUGCAAGUAACUGGGAUAAUUUAUUGCCAUUUAUUUACUUAUGAUAAAAAUAAAAGCCCAAGUUGGCCACUUAAAGUCAACCAAUUGUAUAAUUCCAAUUUUAAAGAAAAUACUGUACCCUUCCGUGGGAAAAAAUUAUGAAUCAGUUGCUUUAAAUAUGUAUGAAAAAAUAACUAAGUAUGUAUGUAUGUAUUAUCAGUUUUAUUCCAAUUAUAUAAGUAAAAAACUUGUUUUAAAA